GGGCCCGUAGCUCAGCCUGGAUAGAGCGAUUGCCUCCUAAGCAAUAGGUCAUGGGUUCGAAUCCCAUCGGGCUCG
rfam:Candidatus Micrarchaeota archaeon CG1_02_60_51 cg1_0.2_scaffold_286_c, whole genome shotgun sequence.